AAUGGGUUGCCUGACAAAAAGGAUUACCUUGAUAGGGUAAAUUAUGUAAUAUUUUACAUCCAUUA
rnacentral:tRNA from 1 species